rnacentral:rRNA from 1 species
AUGAAGCUAUAUCUUAUUCAACAGCUGAAAGAUUUUAACGUCCCAGGUUAUAGAACUCAGAAUGCAUGGAGUAAAGAGGCAUGGAAUAAGAUUGUGGAUAACAUAAACAAAAAGUUUGGCUUGUCACUAGAUGUUACCAAAGUGAAACAAAAGGAACAGGAUCUGAAGAAAGACUUCCGCGCUGUGAAAGAUUUGGCAGCUGAGAGCGGCUUUGGUUGGGACCGCAUCGGAAUGAAAGUUGUUGCCCCAGAUGCCGUAUGGGAAUCAUUUGCGGAGCGUCGUAACAAGGAUGCACUCAUAUGGAGAGACAAACACUUUCCAUAUUAUGAUGAUUUAUUUGCAUUGCAUGAAGGACGGUAUGCUGAAGGAAGGAAUAGGCGUGGCAUGGACUAUUAUGCAAACAGGGAUAAAGAACCAUCACAAACCAAUUUUGCAGAAUCACAAGGGACCAAUGAUUAUGAUGGAUCACCCUCACCUAAUAUAAAUGCUGCUGAUUUUCCCAUUGAAGAAGAAGAACCUACAUAUUUUAAGGAAAACGUUUGGAGCCGGCAGUCCGGCGGAAGCUUCGGCCGGUCCAAUCUAGGCACCCACGCGUGA